UGGAGAUCCGCUAUGUCCUACUUAUCAUCAAUCAAAUCCCUCAAAUGAAAAGUGACCUCGCCAUUAUUGCUCAAAAGACUGGAAGGAGUCCUGUGGAGGAUCUAGAUGUCUCCUUCUCAACUUUUGGAGAAGUGCAACC